CAAAUGGUAGAGCGCUCGCUUAGCAUGC
rnacentral:piRNA from 2 species